rnacentral:rRNA from 1 species
CCUACGGGAGGCAGCAGUGGGGAAUAUUGGACAAUGGGCGAAAGCCUGAUCCAGCAAUGCCGCGUGAGUGAUGAAGGCCUUAGGGUUGUAAAGCUCUUUUACCAGGGAUGGUAAUGACAGUACCUGGAGAAUAAGCUCCGGCUAACUCCGUGCCAGCAGCCGCGGUAAUACGGAGGGAGCUAGCGUUGUUCGGAAUUACUGGGCGUAAAGCGUACGUAGGCGGUUAUUCAAGUCAGAGGUGAAAGCCUGGAGCUCAACUCCAGAACUGCCUUUGAAACUAGAUAGCUAGAAUCUUGGAGAGGUGAGUGGAAUUCCGAGUGUAGAGGUGAAAUUCGUAGAUAUUCGGAAGAACACCAGUGGCGAAGGCGACUCACUGGACAAGUAUUGACGCUGAGGUACGAAAGCGUGGGGAGCAAACAGGAUUAGAUACCCUGGUAGUCCACGCCGUAAACGAUGAUAACUAGCUGUUCGGGCUCUACGAGCUUGAGUGGCGCAGCUAACGCAUUAAGUUAUCCGCCUGGGGAGUACGGUCGCAAGAUUAAAACUUAAUGAAUUGACGG